UGAAUAAAGAAUCUAUUUUGUUUAUAUCGAGUGUUAGUACGUUCACACAGCUGGUGUCAGAUAAAAAAGUGGCGUCAGACAAAAAGGUGCCCCCUCACGACACACAGCGCGCUCUUCUCUACCAAAAUUGUCACAUCCACUCCCGCAGCAUCAUCACUUGUUCUACAAUUUACAUCAACUACUUCUAAAAAAAUAUAUGGGUGCUUAUUUAGUUCUACACAAAUGUCUAGGUCUAAACGUAAUGCCAUCCUUUCCUUGUAGAACACUGUAAAGAGGAUGGCAAUAAUUGUAGAUCUGUCAAUUAAAGAGAUUCUGUACGUUGCUAUGUUUAUUUUACAGGUACAUGGUUACAAGUUAUAAUUAUUAUUGCUUUAAAACUGCAUAACUGCUCUGCGAACUAACUAACCUGUAUAGUUUACAUUUCACUACUUCGGCGUGAAAUACUUGACGUAACCUCUUGAACACUUGUGCAAACAGGUUUAAUUUUAAUGAGUUAAUACUAAAACUACUUUGCAGCACCAAAGUGAAUGAUGUAAUUAAUUUAAAAUUGGUUAGCAUAAAAAGAUAAAAUAUAUAUAUGCAUAUGCAAAAUAAGAUAAAAUAAUCUACAAUAUUACAUUUUUUGCCAGUGCAAUACAAUCUAUGAUAAAAUUGGGCAAAAAUUAUUAUUACUAAUAUCUAAAAAGCUUCACAACAAAGCAAAUCCACACAAUACCAAUCCCAUGCCAGUGAAGGUUAAAAUAAAAAUAUACAAUAAAAAUAAAAUGUUUUUUAUUUAUCAAUAAAUGGUGCUUCCAUAAUAAAAAUAUCAUUUAUAACAAUUCCAACAUAAAUGCAAGCAAUUAUAUCCAACGCUUAUCUAAAGCUGACAUAUAACAUAUUUUUAUCUAAAUCACUUACAAGUUAAAAAUAGGGUUUAAAACUUACGUGGAAUGUAUAGUUUUAUAUCUAAAUCACAUAAAAAUAAUAUAGAAACGUGUAAUAAUGCUGUAAAGUAUCACUCACAAGUGUCGGCGUUACCUGAAUACUAUCAUGUGAUUUUUCAUAAAUUAUCUAGUAUAGAUAUCAUUUUUGAUAAGGGGACAGACAAUGUUAUCAUGGAAGUAACCAAAGAUUUAUGAAGUGUAGAACCAGGAAGCUGAGCGCGCGGCGUGAGAACACAAAAGAAAAAUCUAAUAUUAUUAAAAAGUGACAAACUACUUUUAAGUACAUAAAUAUUAUAUUAUGUACCAAAAAUUACUUAUCUAUUUAUAAAUUGCUGUCUACUACAUAAACUUAGAAAGUUACACUAAAUUAUUGUACUUCUGUACUUCAAUAUAUUAUAAAAAUUUAAAUCACAAAUAUGCUUGAAUGUUAGAAUAGAUUUAAAAACCAUCGUACAUAGUAAAAAAUUAAAAAAAAAACAACACAUUAAAAUACUAAUAGUCCGUAGUCCUUUCGCGGACGAAUGGCGAGAUGCCAAAUUACAGUGCGGCAAGCAUCUUUUGGCGCGUGGCCAAAAUCGGAACUAACGCCGGUAAACAUGACAGGUUGCAAGCACAAGGCCUAGCCUAUCAAUGAUUUUUAUUAUUUUUCCCAUAAGUGGGAAUAGGGACGACUUUCUCAAUUUUUCAUUCAAUUAAAAUUAGAUAAAACUUACUCGAUUUUUAACAUUGACAUUUUCAAUAUAUGUAUUCCCUAAAAUUGAGAUUUUAAUUGCUGGUAAGUGGCAGCCUUUGUUCUACACUACGGCCCCCUGUCAAUCUCGUUCAAGUGUCAAAAGACCCUUGUCGUACUGUAAUAAUUUAAGUAAGGAAAUUAAAAACAAACUUAGUAGCUACCAGAUUGCACGAGGUACUAUGUGAAUCAGGUCCUUAAAAUGUAACAAAUCAGUGUAUAUAAGCAAAUUAAAAGUGUUUAACACUCAUACAUACAAAAUUAUAUAGCUACCUAAAAUUUGGACCAUGUAAGUACAUAAUAUUAAUUACUAUUAUCAUAUACAAUUUAUUUAUACUCAUCAUAAAAAAUUACUUACCAAAUUAAAUAAUGCAUCAUAAAACCAAGCAACUCUAAUAAAUUUGUAUUGGCAUUGUAUUAUUUCGUGAGUUGUAAAUAUACUUAUUAGACACGUAAUAAUAUUUAGAAGUGCAUUAUUCUGGAAGUCUAAAACAAAGAAAAACAUUAGGCAUCCAGGUUUCCUCAGGAUGCAUUUCUUCAACGUUAAAGCGAAAAGGGGCACAAUAUUUUAUAUCAAUCUCAUAUUCUAAACACGUAUCAUAAAACUAAUAUUUUAAUGUGCCUGCUAUUUUGCACAACAAUUUUAUCGCUAUUUUUCAGGUAAAUUGAUUAGAGUUGCACAGGUAUAGUUUGGCGUCA